rnacentral:rRNA from 1 species
UACGGAGGAUGCGAGCGUUAUCCGGAUUUAUUGGGUUUAAAGGGUGCGCAGGCGGUCUGUUAAGUCAGCGGUCAAAGCCCGGGGCUCAACCCCGGCCCGCCGUUGAAACUGACGGUCUUGAGUGGGCGAGAAGUAUGCGGAAUGCGCAGUGUAGCGGUGAAAUGCUUAGAUAUUGCGCAGAACUCCGAUUGCGAAGGCAGCAUACCGGCGGCGAUCUGACGCUGAGGCACGAAAGCGUGGGUAUCGAACAGG